GAUGAACGCUGGCGGCGUGCCCAAUACAUGCAAGUCGAGCGAACGGACGAGAAGCUUGCUUCUCUGAUGUUAGCGGCGGACGGGUGAGUAACACGUGGAUAACCUACCUAUAAGACUGGGAUAACUUCGGGAAACCGGAGCUAAUACCGGAUAAUAUUUUGAACCGCAUGGUUCAAAAGUGAAAGACGGUCUUGCUGUCACUUAUAGAUGGAUCCGCGCUGCAUUAGCUAGUUGGUAAGGUAACGGCUUACCAAGGCAACGAUGCAUAGCCGACCUGAGAGGGUGAUCGGCCACACUGGAACUGAGACACGGUCCAGACUCCUACGGGAGGCAGCAGUAGGGAAUCUUCCGCAAUGGGCGAAAGCCUGACGGAGCAACGCCGCGUGAGUGAUGAAGGUCUUCGGAUCGUAAAACUCUGUUAUUAGGGAAGAACACAUGUGUAAGUAACUGUGCACAUCUUGACGGUACCUAAUCAGAAAGCCACGGCUAACUACGUG
rnacentral:rRNA from 1 species